rnacentral:rRNA from 1 species
GACGAACGCUGGCGGCGUGCCUAAUACAUGCAAGUAGAGCGCUGAAGGAGGAGCUUGCUUCUCUGGAUGAGUUGCGAACGGGUGAGUAACGCGUAGGUAACCUGCCUGGUAGCGGGGGAUAACUAUUGGAAACGAUAGCUAAUACCGCAUAAUAGUAGAUGUUGCAUGACAUUUGCUUAAAAGGUGCAAUUGCAUCACUACCAGAUGGACCUGCGUUGUAUUAGCUAGCUGGUGAGGUAACGGCUCACCAAGGCGACGAUACAUAGCCGACCUGAGAGGGUGAUCGGCCACACUGGGACUGAGACACGGCCCAGACUCCUACGGGAGGCAGCAGUAGGGAAUCUUCGGCAAUGGACGGAAGUCUGACCGAGCAACGCCGCGUGAGUGAAGAAGGUUUUCGGAUCGUAAAGCUCUGUUGUAAGAGAAGAACGAGUGUGAGA